AGCUAUAUCUUCUUCAAAAUGCAAGUCCUCAAUGAGCUCUAAGUAGACUUCACAUUUUGCAGGGUUUUCUAGUUGUAAACCAAUAAAAAUGAAAGAAAUACUUAGUGGACGAGCUUAGAACAACUGAGCAAGAAAUCAUUUUGGAUGACUAAAACAGUAAUAAAUUACACCAGCAGAAAUGUGGAGUUUGCAGAAUCUUUCUGUUUCAAGCCUAGAAGCUAUUUAUAAUUUCCUCUCUUUUAUUGCUUGCUGUUGCAAGUACAGAAAGAAUACCUUCUCUGAAUAUUUGUGCAAAGGUUUGACCAUUGGAGGUCUAUGUUUUAAGGUGCAUGAUAAUUUCUUGACCUUCCUUUAGCUCAUCUUUGUCAUGAGAGUAUGAAUUGUCCUGCAAACAGUGGCAGAUGUAUUUGAGAAAAUGGGGG
rnacentral:misc_RNA from 1 species